UUUACGUACCGGGCAAAUUUUCUCCAGUCCCACAAAAAAACACAACAAAGCGCCUAUGCAAAACCCUCCCUCUGUCAAUCAGGAUCUUCUUCCAGUGUCUACUAACAUUACAAGCAUGAUUCAGAAGAUAGAGAGAGAGAUGUUUUAUUAGAGAAGAACGGAUUAACUUUUUCUAUGUUAGUUAGGGAUGCUAUAUUUAUCACUUCUAAUUCAUUAACUACAAAAAGGUCAGACGUUUUUAAUUCUGGUGCCGCUCUGCACACACAAGCGUGUUGGCUGGCUUCUCUAGUCCAACGUUAAGCCGACUCUGGAGUUCAACGACAUCUGAAGGAUCAACUUGCUUAUAUUGAGAAUUCUGUGAACUGUCUCGGGCAAGUUAAAAAUGUGCACGAAACCUGUUGUCCAGCCAUUUAAAUGCAUGGGAAAUGCAUGCAUUUUAUAAACCAACAGUCUAGCUUGCUAGUUAACUAGCUAGCUAACUUAGAUGGUGAAGCUAGGUGUUCUUGAUAAUGUUUGUUUGUUUGUUUGUAUCUGUGUGUGAGAGGUGGGUAGUCUAUUUCAAGUAACUACUUGACUUGUAGCUACCCUAGCUAGCUGUAUUAUUUUGGUCUGGAUUUGUGAGAGGUUUCAUAGAUGGACUGAUUAGCAUCCUUUCUUGAGUCAACAGUGUGAUUACUUUACUGCGAGAAGACAUUCAUCUGUUUGUUGUUACCCUCUGAACAGCAUAUCAUUAGUAUAGCUAGUAAGCAAGGUUACGUAACCUUCUUUGGUCCUACCUGCUAUGGUGGGUUUUACACAUUCAUUGGUAUUCACACAUUUGUUUUUAAGGUAGAAUGAGUGUCAUGUUAUUGAUGCUAAAUUGCUUAAUGUAUUUACUUACACCUUGUCUAUUCCAUAACCAGUGGGUGUGCCUGAGUCUUAGAAAUUAAUUUUGAUGGUAUUGAUGUACAGUACCAGUCAAAAGUUUGGACACACCUACUCAUUCAAGAGUUGUAGUAACCAAAAAAGUGUUAAACAAAUAAAAAUAUAUUUUAUAUUUGAGAUACUUCAAAGUAGUAGUGAUGGGUCUUUCGCGAACGAGUCGGCUCUAAGAGCCGGCUCUUGUAGGUGAACGUUGGGAACCGGCUCACAUAUCAGGAGAGCCGAAUCUAUUUAUAAAAAUAUUUUAAAAACUAAGAUAAUGAAAAGAUUUAAAUGAAUAGAAUUAACUAAUUCGAAGAACGAAAAAAUAAAAAAAAUAAUAUAGGCCUAAAUGCUCAAGUACACACAUUCAUUCGGACUGUUUGCUCAGACUAACAGCCUCACCUGUUGUCCUGUCAAUCAGACACGCAGUGUCAACCAAUGAACCAAAGAUGUGUGAGGGAGGGCCGAGCCAACUCACUCACAGUCACACACUUAGUGUAACAGUCGUCGUAUGGAGUGGACCAAAACACAGCGGGUAUAUUUAUCAUCUUCUUUUAUUGAAGAAAAAGCAAAACAAACAACGAAAAACAGUCCUGUAAGGUGCUCAGACUAUACACGGAAACAACCACCCACAAACACAAGAGAAAAUAAACCCACUUAAAUAUGGCAUCCAAUUAGAGGCAACGACAACCAGCUGCCUCUAAUUGGAGGUCGUUCCAAACCCCAACAUAGAAAUAGAAAAACCAGAACAACACAUAGAAAUAGAAAAUAUAGAACAUACACCAAAAACCCCGAAACACACAAAACAAACACCCCCUGCCACGCCCUGACCAAACUACAAUAACAAACAACCCCUUUUACUGGUCAGGACGUGACACUUAGCAGCCGAGGAAAGAGAGGAAGGACAGCUGUGAAAACAACAGCUGGAAAAUGAGUCGGAAGCACAGUAGCAUUUGGAUGCAUUUUAAUAAUGUAGACAAUGUUAGAGCACAGUGUAGAAUUUGCCAAAACAAAAUCUCAUAUAAAGCCGGUUCUACGCACAACCUACACCGGCAUAUGCGAACUGUGCACCCAACUGUGAAGCUAGCUGUAGCAGAGCUUCGAGAAACUAGCGGGCCUGCUAGUGAAGGUGGUGGAGCCAGCACCUAUCAACUCAGUCAAGUAGGCCUACUUUGCGACCCACAGCAACGCAGUCUUCUAUGGACCAGUUUAUGCCAAAGUCUAUACCUGUAGCAAAACAAGGCCAAAUUGAUAUUGCAUUGGCUAAAAUGAUUGCCACCGAUUUCCAGCCAUUUUCAAUCGUGGAGGACAGAGGUUUUAGAAAUUAUAGCAAUAGUCUAAAUCCAAUGUACACAAUUCCAAGCAGGAAAACCCUUUCAAAAUCACUUAUUCCACAACUGUACGAGAGCACACAGGCUUCAGUGUGGGAAAGAGUCCAAAAAGCUACUGCAGUUUGCCUUACCGCUGACUGCUGGACGUCAAGGGUAACCACUUCUUACAUGUUGGUUACAUGUCACUUCAUUGAAGAUGUUUUGAUGUCUAGCUGUCUUCUGGACUGCUUUGAGUUCAGCAACAGACACACCUAAGAGAACUUGGCAGAGGAACUGUUGAGAGUGGCCAGAGAAUGGCAAGUAGAUGGGAAAGUGGUCUGUUGUGUUAGCGACAAUGCAGCUAGCAUAACCAAAGCCAUGAAAAUGUUUAAAUGGACCCAUCAUCCAUGUCUUGCCCACACAAUCAACUUGAUUGUAAGAGAUGCUCUGAAGGUGAUGAAGUCCACUGCGGACAAAGUGAAAGCAGCUGUGGAAUACUUCCACAGGAGCACAGUAGGUGCUGAAAAACGAAAGUCUACACAAUGCCAGAUGGGGAUGCCUGAGCUGAGGCCUAAACAAGACUGCACUACAAGGUGGAAUUCAACAUUUUAUAUGUUGAAGCGGUUUCUUGAGUUCUUGAGUUUCUUGAAGGAUCUCAUCAUCUCUACCCUGGCCAUUGUCCAUGCACCUGUUGAUGCUCUGACCCAAGAAGAAUGGGAGGUGUUGGAGGAGGUGUGCAGAGUCCUGGAACCCUUUGAGCAGGUCACUGUGGAGAUCAGUGGAGAGAGCUAUGUGACAGCCUCAAAAAUGAUACUCCUGUGUAAGGGUCUGCAGCGAAUCACAGCCAGCCGCCAGAGAGAAGCAAAUGUAACCACAGGACAUGUGACACAGUUGAUGGACACCCUAUGUUCAUCAAUGGACAGAAAGUUCCACAGAAUGGAAUAUAAUCACGUGCUAUCAGAAACAGCUGCACUUGACCCCAAGUUUAAGAAGUUAGCCUUCAGUGAUGCCAGAGCGAUUGAUGAGGCUCUUCAAAGAAUAACCUUUGCAGCAGGGAGGGACAGCCCCAGCAGUCAGCGUGCUCAGGCACCAGGGCAACAGGAAGAAGAGGGAUCAGAUGGAGCAGAAGCACCAGCAGUAGUGCCACAAACGUCUGCUGGGGAUGCUGUUUGACGAGAGAGCAACUGGGGAUGCAGCACAAAGGAAUCCCUCAGCAGAUGCCAUAAUGGAGGUCCGAUCCUAUUUGGAGGAGCCACUCCUCCAAAGAUCUGCAGAUCCUCUGAGCUGGUGGAAGAACAAGGCCUCUGUCUACCCACGGUUUACUAAAGUCAUGACAGGGAGACUCUGCAUAGUGGCCACAUCCGUUCCCUCUGAGAGGGUCUUCUCGAAACGGGACAAAUAAUUACUGAGAGAAGAAACCGCAUCAGCCCCUCGAAAGUGAGGCAGCUUGUAUUUCUGAAUGCAAAUCUCUCAUAAAAGCAAAAUAUGGUCAGCAUUGCUGUGUGCUGCUGGUUAUAACAUGGCAGUAUAGAAGAGAGAGAAAAGAGGGACCAGUUUAAUGUUUUAAGUGGGAUGCUGAAGUUUUGCACAUUGUUAUUUAUUUUUCUUUGAUAUGGAGCAAUAUUCUAUUAUUAUGUUGUUCAGAUUGUAUUCGUUUUGAAUUGUUACAUUUAUAUGCACUUUGUUGUUAAGAAAAAGAAAGGAGCAGCUGCGGACCAGAAGACUGCAGCCAAGGCAGCACUGGUCCACACCUGCAUGUCUGUCUGGUCUAAUUCCUGAAAUGGAAAAACAGAAGUCUGUGCGCUCUUGGAAAGUGAUAAAAGUUCAUAUGGUGCUCUUUGAUGUCCCAGUUUGCGUCCUGUUAUGGAAACAGCACUCUCCAUCAGCCUCUCCAACUCUUUGGGAAGGGCCCUAAGUGUGGCUACAUGUCCCUCAUCGCCUACCGUAGCCCUCGUAAUGUCCCCCGCCCGCAUCUGGCAUGCAAUGCCCCUAAAUUGACUCUAUGUCAGAUCUGCAGAAUGCUGCGUGUGAUGCGUUUUGAGGCUGCUGCUGCAGGCAACAACAGGAAGCAAGCAUCUUCUCCUCCUCCACCACCUAGCUCUCCGGCCAAGUCAAACAGGAGAUGUCUGCCUUCCUGCUUUCGCCACAGACGUAAUACUACUAACAUAAAGAGAUUUGGAUGAUAAUGGAUCCCAAAAAGCCCACCCCCUGCCCUUCCAACAAUCCUUACCCAGCCGAUGGGAGUGAGUUCCCUUCACGUUUCCACACAAACCAGUACAGAGAAAUACAGACUCCAUGUCCCCAUGCUUUGUUUGUUGGGGGUAGGGAGGGCACUCCUGAGACAAAGAAAACAUGUAUUUUGUGUACCAGUGACUGACAGACUCAGCUUCGACCACACUGAUUUAUUUUGUCUUGUGUGUAAUUUCAACAGGUGAAACUCUGCUCACUGCAAAGGUCAGUCAGUAAUUGAACCUGUGGAAUGUUUCCAGGGGUCAUGGAUGGGGACCAAACUGUUUUGGGGGUUUGGGUUGUUUUAUUUUUUUAGGUGUUUAAUUCUGGGUGUACAUUGCUAAACGGAAAGUGUAAUUGACUGACAUUGGCACUGUGAAAACCUGUAAUGGAUUUCAACCGUGGUUUCUUUAUUAAAGUUUUGACUAUUUCAAUCAA
rnacentral:lncRNA from 1 species